rnacentral:rRNA from 1 species
GAUGAACGCUAGCUACAGGCUUAACACAUGCAAGUCGAGGGGUAACGAGAGGAAAGCUUGCUUUCCUUGUCGACGACCGGCGCACGGGUGAGUAACGCGUAUCCAACCUGCCCCCAACUAGGGAAUAACCUUGCGAAAGUAAGACUAAUACCCUAUAAUUUCCUCAGAUGACAUCUGACGAGGAAUAAAGAUUUAUCGGGUGUGGAUGGGGAUGCGUCUGAUUAGCUUGUGGGCGGGGUAACGGCCCACCAAGGCAACGAGCAGUAGGGGUUCUGAGAGGAAGGUCCCCCACAUAGGAACUGAGACACGGUCCAAGCUCCUACGGGAGGCAGCAGUGAGGAAUAUUGGUCAAUGGGCGGAAGCCUGAACCAGCCAAGUAGCGUGCAGGAUGACGGCCCUAUGGGUUGUAAACUGCUUUUAUACAGGAAUAAAGUUAGCCACGUGUGGCUAUUUGUAGGUACUGUAUGAAUAAGGACCGGCUAAUUCCGUGCCAGCAGCCGCGGUAA